CGACCUUGAAAUACCACCCUUUAAUGUUUGAUGUUCUAACGUGGACCCGUAAUCCGGGUUGCGGACAGUGUCUGGUGGGUAGUUUGACUGGGGCGGUCUCCUCCUAAAGAGUAACGGAGGAGCACGAAGGUUGGCUAAUCCUGGUCGGACAUCAGGAGGUUAGUGCAAUGGCAUAAGCCAGCUUGACUGCGAGCGUGACGGCGCGAGCAGGUGCGAAAGCAGGUCAUAGUGAUCCGGUGGUUCUGAAUGGAAGGGCCAUCGCUCAACGGAUAAAAGGUACUCCGGGGAUAACAGGCUGAUACCGCCCAAGAGUUCAUAUCGACGGCGGUGUUUGGCACCUCGAUGUCGGCUCAUCACAUCCUGGGGCUGAAGUAGGUCCCAAGGGUAUGGCUGUUCGCCAUUUAAAGUGGUACGCGAGCUGGGUUUAGAACGUCGUGAGACAGUUCGGUCCCUAUCUGCCGUGGGCGCUGGAGAACUGAGGGGGGCUGCUCCUAGUACGAGAGGACCGGAGUGGACGCAUCACUGGUGUUCGGGUUGUCAUGCCAAUGGCACUGCCCGGUAGCUAAAUGCGGAAGAGAUAAGUGCUGAAAGCAUCUAAGCACGAAACUUGCCCCGAGAUGAGUUCUCCCUGAGACUUAGAGUCUCCUGAAGGAACGUUGAAGACGACGACGUUGAUAGGCCGGGUGUGUAAGCGCAGCGAUGCGUUGAGCUAACCGGUACUAAUGAACCGUGAGGCUUAACCUUACAACGCCGAAG
rnacentral:rRNA from 1 species